rnacentral:rRNA from 1 species
CGACCGGCGCACGGGUGAGUAACACGUAUCCAACCUGCCGUCUACUCUUGGACAGCCUUCUGAAAGGAAGAUUAAUACAAGAUGGCAUCAUGAGUUCACAUGUUCACAUGAUUAAAGGUAUUCCGGUAGACGAUGGGGAUGCGUUCCAUUAGAUAGUAGGCGGGGUAACGGCCCACCUAGUCUUCGAUGGAUAGGGGUUCUGAGAGGAAGGUCCCCCACAUUGGAACUGAGACACGGUCCAA